rnacentral:rRNA from 1 species
GACACAGGGAGGUAGUGACAAGAAAUAACAAUACAGGGCUAUAUAGUCUUGUAAUUGGAAUGAUGGGGAUUUAAACUCUUCCCAGAGUAUCARUUGGAGGGCAAGUCUGGUGCCAGCAGCCGCGGUAAUUCCAGCUCCAAUAGCGUAUAUUAAAGUUGUUGCAGUUAAGAAGCUCGUAGUUGAAUUUCUGCCUUGUCUUUGGACUCACUUUAAUGUGUUUUCCGACUGGCUUGGCAUUUUUCUGGAUUGUAUAACUUCGGUUAUGCUUUUUCAGAGUUUACUUUGAGAAAACUAGAGUGUUUCAAACAGGCCUUUUGCCUUGAAUACUACAGCAUGGAAUAAUAAAGUAGGACUUUGGUUCUAUUUUGUUGGUUUUCGAACCAUAGUAAUGGUUAAUAGGAGCAGUUGGGGGCAUUCGUAUUUAACUGUCAGAGGUGAAAUUCUUAG